AUGGAACGGCUAUCAGGACAACAGAGAGGUUGGGUUAUUGAGCUUGGCUUCAACUCCCAUUUUCUUGUCCAGCCGUGCAAAUUACCCAUAAACCUUAUACUGUCUCUGAUCAAACAUGUCAACUGUGAAACAAAGUCAUUGGUUUAUAGAGGAAGGAGUAUGUCCAUAUUAGACGCGGUGAAGCAAAUAUUUCAAUUCCCUUGUGGCGAUGAUAGGGUGGAAAUGCCCGGCCGGGGAAAGCACGGGAAUGAACCAAGCCAUUCAAAGGAGACCCUGAAUUCAAGGACGAAGAAGCACGUAGAGGACAUUGACUGGAGAAAGCUGAAGAAGCGAUGUCGAAAUUAA
rnacentral:rRNA from 1 species